GGGGCCAAAUCCCCCUUCAGUCCACCUGAAGGCAUUCCAUGUAUAAAAUGGCAAAAUCAAGGCCCUGGAUGCUGGGAAGUUACAAACCAGGCGUCCCGGAGUCUCCCAGCCUGGGGUGGAUGCGGGAGACUACGUUUUCCAAACAGCCAGUUGGCAACUGGAGCAAAGAACUGGAGCAGAGAACUGCAGCACGAGGCUGGGGAAGGAAUCAAGGGGCCUCACUGAAAAUCCCACCGACUCUGGAGAGAUGGGAAAGGCUGGGAAGGGGAG
rnacentral:lncRNA from 11 species